rnacentral:rRNA from 1 species
UACGUAGGGUGCGAGCGUUAAUCGGAAUUACUGGGCGUAAAGAGCGCGCAGGCGGUCGUUCAAGUCGAGUGUGAAAGCCCCCGGCUCAACUGGGGAGGGUCAUUCGAUACUGAUCGACUCGAAGGCAGGAGAGGGUAGUGGAAUUCCCGGUGUAGUGGUGAAAUGCGUAGAUAUCGGGAGGAACACCAGUGGCGAAGGCGACUACCUGGCCUGUUCUUGACGCUGAGGCGCGAAAGCUAGGGGAGCAAACGGG